rnacentral:sRNA from 1 species
CCUUGAGCAUGGACAGCCUGGAUCUGCUGGGUGAAGGGAGAAGUUAUGUCCAGGGUGGGACAGAGAGGAUGGCGAGAGAUUUCCUCACUGCUCAGAACAGUGGGAAAUUCAAAACUUAGGGAUUAUUUCUGAAAUUUUCCAUUUAAAAAUUUCCAUUUAUAAUUGACCAAGGGUAACUGAAACCAGAGAAAGCAAGACUGAGGAUAAGGGAGGGGCCUCCUGUACUCCAAGAGCACUGAAUCCGGAAAAACUCAACACAUUGAUGGAGUCAUAUAUUUAAUUUUUUCUUAAAAGCCACCUGCGGGAUAUUGUAGAAACACUGCGCUGCCAAUCACAGCUUGUGAUGUGACACAUUCAUUCUGCAAGUUUAAACUUCCCCUAGUGGCUGCACCAUUUUGCAUUCUGGGAUGUGAUGUGGAACAGAAUUACCUUCAGAAUGAAGUUCAAAAACUCACUGGGAAUAAGUACAGAGAAAUGAUGCUGCAAGCUGAUGAAAUAAAUUUACUGUAGGAACAAAA